UGUAAAUCGUGAUUUUGAAUAGGUAAUAAUUAAUCAUGAAAUACAACAGUUACACAAGAAAGUUAAGUCAAAACGGUACGUCAUUCCCGACUACCAAAAAUGAAAAUCCUCUUCACGAAACCAGCGGAAAAGACUUCCUUCAGAAUGAUAAUGUGUCUUCGCUCGAUAAUCGAACGUUCGUUCUGUUCGUAAUGUUCGUAAUGUUUUAUGUACAACAUACAUUUUGCUGAACAGGCGUACCU